UUAAAAUCCUAAUCCUGACGGCGAUGACGGGGGCCGAGCGAGAUGAACGAGAGGGCUUGUGAGGACACCGCCGGGGGAGUUGACAUGCAUGGAUCUGCUCCAAGCCAAAGGAGGAGGAGAGGCAGAAGCAAUGAAAGGAGAGCAAAGGACGGUGGCAAUGCACCUUUUCAUGUCUUGUGCAUGUCUCAGGCAAAUACAGACUGGAGAUCUCAGAUGACACAUGACCUUCUCGGGAAACAUCUUAGCAACUGCCGUCGGGAACCACGCUUCGGAAAUGGCAGAGCGAGUCCGACUGGUCCCGAGACGGUGUCCUGGAGCAACUUGAGUCGCUUCUGGAGUGAGAGAAUUGGCCAUCUGCAAGGACGUUGCCCAGCGGAUGCCCGGAUUUUUUUGAUGUUUUUACCAUCCUUGUGGGAGGCUUCUCUCAUGUCCCCGCAUGGAACUGGAGCUGACAGAGGGAGCUCAUCCGCGCUCUCCGUGAGUGGGAUUUGA
rnacentral:lncRNA from 11 species